rnacentral:rRNA from 1 species
UACGUCAGCAGCAGACGGGUGAGUAACGCGUGGGAACAUACCUUUUGGUUCGGAACAACACAGGGAAACUUGUGCUAAUACCGGAUAAGCCCUUACGGGGAAAGAUUUAUCGCCGAAAGAUUGGCCCGCGUCUGAUUAGCUAGUUGGUGAGGUAACGGCUCACCAAGGCGACGAUCAGUAGCUGGUCUGAGAGGAUGAUCAGCCACAUUGGGACUGAGACACGGCCCAAACUCCUACGGGAGGCAGCAGUGGGGAAUAUUGGACAAUGGGCGAAAGCCUGAUCCAGCCAUGCCGCGUGAGUGAUGAAGGCCCUAGGGUUGUAAAGCUCUUUUGUGCGGGAAGAUAAUGACGGUACCGCAAGAAUAAGCCCCGGCUAACUUCGUGCCAGCAGCCGCGGUAAUACGAAGGGGGCUAGCGUUGCUCGGAAUCACUGGGCGUAAAGGGUGCGUAGGCGGGUCUUUAAGUCAGGGGUGAAAUCCUGGAGCUCAACUCCAGAACUGCCUUUGAUACUGAGGAUCUUGAGUACGGGAGAGGUGAGUGGAACUGCGAGUGUAGAGGUGAAAUUCGU